rnacentral:tRNA from 1 species
CAGUGGGUAGUGUAGUGGUAACAUCCUUGGUCUGGAGCCAAGUGUCGGGAGUUCAAAUCUCUCCCCGCUGACCA